rnacentral:rRNA from 1 species
CCUACGGGAGGCAGCAGUGGGGAAUUUUGGACAAUGGGCGCAAGCCUGAUCCAGCAAUGCCGCGUGAGUGAAGAAGGCCUUCGGGUUGUAAAGCUCUUUUGUCAGGGAAGAAACGGUGUUUUCUAAUACAGAGCGCUAAUGACGGUACCUGAAGAAUAAGCACCGGCUAACUACGUGCCAGCAGCCGCGGUAAUACGUAGGGUGCAAGCGUUAAUCGGAAUUACUGGGCGUAAAGCGUGCGCAGGCGGUUUUGUAAGUUUGUCGUGAAAUCCCCGGGCUCAACCUGGGAAUGGCGAUGAAGACUGCAAGGCUAGAGUUUGGCAGGGGGGGGUAGAAUUCCACGUGUAGCAGUGAAAUGCGUAGAUAUGUGGAGGAACACCGAUGGCGAAGGCAGCCCCCUGGGUCAAAACUGACGCUCAUGCACGAAAGCGUGGGGAGCAAACAGGAUUAGAUACCCUGGUAGUCCACGCCCUAAACGAUGUCUACUAGUUGUCGGGUCUUAAUUGACUUGGUAACGCAGCUAACGCGUGAAGUAGACCGCCUGGGGAUACGGUCGCAAGNUUAAAACUUAAGGAAUUGACGG